GGAUUGUAGCUCAGUGGUACAGCGCUUGCCUAGCAUGUGUGACACACUGGGUUCGAUUCUCAGCACCA
rnacentral:tRNA from 1 species